rnacentral:rRNA from 1 species
GCCCAGUGAUAAAUAUUUAACGGCCGCGGUACUCUGACCGUGCAAAGGUAGCAUAAUCAUUUGCCUUAUAAUUGAAGGCUUGUAUGAAUGGUUUGACGAAAACAAAGCUGUCUCUUUUUAAUUUUAUAAAACUUGAUUUUUAGGUGAAGAAGCCUAAAUAAAAUUGAAAGACAAGAAGACCCUAUCGAGCUUUAAAAAAUUUUAUUAAUAUAUAAUGAUUAAAAAAAUCAAAUAUAAUAAAAAAUUUUAGUUGGGGCGACUAAGGAACAAAAAAGCUUCCUUUUAAAGUAUAAAGCAAAUCAGCUAUGAUCCAAAAUUUUUGAUUAAAAGAAUUAGUUACCGUAGGGAUAACAGCAUAAUCUUUUUUGAGAGUUCUUAUCGAAAAAAAGGUUUGUGACCUCGAUGUUGGACUAGAAUAUCCUAAAUGAUGCAGAAGUCUUUA